rnacentral:rRNA from 1 species
ACGCUCGACACCUACGGGGGCAGCAGUGGGGAAUAUUGCACAAUGGGGGAAACCCUGAUGCAGCGACGCCGCGUGAAGGAUGAAGUAUUUCGGUAUGUAAACUUCUAUCAGCAGGGAAGAAAGUGACGGUACCUGACUAAGAAGCCCCGGCUAACUACGUGCCAACAGCCGCGGUAAUCUGAGCGGGCUGGCAAGGC